GUUGACCUCGAAUCAGGUAGGGAUACCCGCUGAACUUAAGCAUAUC
rnacentral:rRNA from 1 species